GACGAACGCUGGCGGCGUGCUUAACACAUGCAAGUCGAACGGAAAGGCCCUGCUUGCAGGGUACUCGAGUGGCGAACGGGUGAGUAACACGUGGGUGAUCUGCCCUGCACUUCGGGAUAAGCCUGGGAAACUGGGUCUAAUACCGGAUAGGAGCCAUUUUUAGUGUGAUGGUUGGAAAGUUUUUUCGGUGUAGGAUGAGCUCGCGGCCUAUCAGCUUGUUGGUGGGGUAAUGGCCUACCAAGGCGGCGACGGGUAGCCGGCCUGAGAGGGUGGACGGCCACAUUGGGACUGAGAGACGGCCCAGACUCCUACGGGGGGCAGCAGUGGGGAAUAUUGCACAAUGGGCGCAAGCCUGAUGCAGCGACGCCGCGUGGGGGAUGACGGCCUUCGGGUUGUAAACUCCUUUCGCUAGGGACGAAGCUUUUUGUGACGGUACCUAGAUAAGAAGCACCGGCUAACUACGUG
rnacentral:rRNA from 1 species